rnacentral:sRNA from 1 species
GAAGUUUCAGGUUGGCGCCUCCAGGCCGCCACGGCACACGAAACAGCGUUGGUCCCCCUAUAUGAGCGUACAUAAGCUGCUUAACGCGGCCGGAAGGAUGCUACAUAUAUCAGGUCUGUUUCGUGUGCUGAAUUGUUGACGCAUUUAUUUAUUGGUAUCGC